CAAACAGGACAGGCACCUCAUGGCUUUGUAUCCUCUGGCAAGCCCUCCCCUUCCUCCUCCCCUUGAGCUCCCCAGCAUCCAAUGUUAAUUAGCUAAUAUUUGUUUACAUUGUUCCUGACCCUUUGCCUUUUGAUUCCCACUGCAGCACAUCAGCAGGCCACCAGGAGAAGUACAGAGCUCUGCACACCUCCCAGCCCAGUGUGCGGGUCAAGAAACAGUGGGUGACACCAGGAGAAGCCAGCACCUCUCCUCCCACGGGGACUCAUCCCUUUGUCCCCCUGCACGAGGUUCCCCCAUGCUCCUCCCACACUGUCCCCGAACCAGGACCCGCUCUGGCAUGUGCCAGCAGCCACAUCCCCCCCUGCCCGUGGACUGUCGGGCGUGUUUUUCACCCCUCCUCUCAACGCUUCCUAAACAGCUCAUGAAUUUUAUAAACUAAACUCAUUGUAACCAAA